UAUGUGGGACGGUAAACCGCUU
rnacentral:miRNA from 10 species